rnacentral:lncRNA from 1 species
GCCACCGCAUCCUGGGCUCCCAGCCUGCUGGUCGGCUCCCAGCCCAGGGAAGUGGGGAACCAAGCAGAGGGUACAGUGACCCUGCAGGCGUCCAUGCCGGCAGCAACGCAGAACGCUAAGCUGCUGUCAUGUUCUCCCCUCCUUCCUCAGUGCACAGUGGCCAGGCCUGCUGUCCCUCUCCUGCCCCUGCCGUGUCCAGAUGGCCCCCUGCUGCUUCUGCCUGCUCUUCUUCCUGGUAUCGGAGCCUCUGGGAGGGGGGCUGCUGGGAGAGCUCAAAUUGCUAGGGUUCCAAGUGGCCACCCCACAUUGUGAGAUCAGGAGUCUCUCUGGGACCCCCUCCAGCUCCCCGGCUGGAUCAAGGAACCCUCGGGCCGCAGGUUGGUGUAAGGGACCACCCAGGAGGCUGCCCUCUUCCCCAGCUUAGCCAGCCUGUGGCCCAGGUGGCACAGGACAGGAGGAAGUGACACUCUGUUCAAGCCCCUCUCCCUAUAUACCAGGCUCUGGGCCAAAAGUUUCAUUCUGUCGGGGGCGUGCCUGCUGUGUAGACAAUGGCCACGCUCUGCUAGGGAAACGAUUCACCAAGCCAUGGAGCGUGGCAGGGAGCCCAGCCCAGAUGACUCCCAGCCCCAAGACCUCGGCCCUGACCACUUCCAGGGGGGCACAUGCCACACACGCUGUGCCACAGCCCCUCUCCUAAUACUCUCCAGCCCCCGUGGCCCCCGGAGAGGUGGUGGAGACUGCAGAGGGGGUGUGCAGGUUCCCGGGGCAGCGGCUGAGCUGGUGGCAGGCCCAGGAGUUCUGUGAGCAGCGGUUUGGCCACCUGCCACUGGUGCCCCCAGAGGGGAUUCUUGCUGCACGGCUGCGCGACACGGUCUGGGCGGCGCAAAGAGAGGCUGAUCGCCGGAGGCCCCCGCAGAGGCGUGAGUGUGGGGGCGGGGUGCUGCGACCUUCCCAGGUGGGAGCCCAGAUCGCACCCUACCACAUCUCCAGCUGAGUUCCCCUGCCGUGGACGUGGACGUGGACGGAAAGCAGGGGUGGGGCCCUGGGGAGGGGGAACAGAACUCCCAUUUCUUCCUCCUCGAGAGGAGGGCCU